GGUUCUGUGGUGUAGGUGGUUAGCAUUCAGGGUUCUGAUUCCUGCGACGGGGGUUCGAGUCCCCCCAGAACCU